rnacentral:rRNA from 1 species
AUUGAACGCUGGCGGCAGGCCUAACACAUGCACGUCGAGCGGAGCGGCGGACGGGUGAGUAAUGCCUAGGAAUCUGCCUGGUAGUGGGGGAUAACGUCCGGAAACGGGCGCUAAUACCGCAUACUCUCAGAUGAGCCUAGGUCGGAUUAGCUAGUUGGUGGGGUAAAGGCCUACCAAGGCGACGAUCCGUAACUGGUCUGAGAGGAGGAUCAGUCAAACGGGAAAUGAGACACGGUACAGACUCCAACGGGAGGAAGCAGUGGGGAAUAUUGGACAAUGGGCGAAAGCCUGAUCCAGCCAGGCCGCGUGUGUGAAGAAGGUCUUCGGAUGGUAAAGCACUAUAAGUUGGGAGGCGUUACCAACAGAAUAAGCACCGGCUAACUUCGUGCCAGCAGCCGCGGUAAUUC